UAUUCUGCCCCACGGGGAAGGAUGAGAAGCUUCGACCAAGGUUCGACUCGAGCGAAGCGAGAGAACGUUGCCGCAGGCAACGGCCCGAAGGCGAGGCGCUUUAGCGCCGAGUAAUCCUUACCCCACCACUG
rnacentral:sRNA from 1 species